CUGGGCAGAGCAGCCUUAUUUCUUCCACGGCAGGACAUUUUCCUCCAUCACUCAGCAAUAACUUCAGCAGGCACCCUUGCAGUGCACAGGCUAGCAGCAUAUGGGCCCAGGCGGCUUUGGACACCAGCAGCAGCUCUGCUCUGUGUGCCUUUGUUAGCCUCAGGAGUGAAAGAUCCGCUAAAAUCCCCACAACCUGUGUGGUGCCAAGAUUCAGUGCCAAUGCCCUGUACUGCUAGAUCUAGAGAAAACUUAGUCCUGACUUGAGUGCAGGGGACUGGACUAGACAACCUCUCGAGGUCCCUUCCAGUCCUACGAUUCUAUGAUUCUAUGAUUCAUUCCAGCGAGCAAUUCCCCAUUUCUCCCGCGCCCGAGGGCCACACUCACCAGGGCUGCACUGUGACCGUGCACAAGCCACUCCCAAGCAGAAGGGAGAAUGUCAAGUUCACCAAGUUAAGGGUGCAGGCAAGUGAAUUCAGCAUCUUAACUUUUGCUUUCUCCAGUGAACAGACUGACAAUGGUACCUGUGUGUUUACUGUUUUACCUGCGGCUGCUGCCACUGCGGCCUGCAGGGUCUCUCCCUCCGCACCCACAGAAUGCCUGUGCCAGAUGAGAAGAAAGAAGAGGAUUCAGGAUGGCAUAUUCCAGAAGAUCCUGCAAGCCAGGGCUGCAUCACACUGUGAGCACAGGGCCUGGAGGGUGAACACUGCAGACAGCCUGGAGAAGGAAAGAGAGGCCCAGGAGUCCAAGCAGAAAAAGGACAGGGCGAUGCACCAGGAUAUAAUGAAUCAUAGAAUAUCAGGGUUGGAAGGGACCUCAGGAGGUCAUCUAGUACAACCCCCUGCUCAAAGCAGGAUCAAAACAAACUGAAUCAUCCCAACCAGGGCUUUGUCAAUCCUGACCUUAAAAACCUCAUCAGGCAGCAAAUACAGACACUGCAGUCUCUGGUGGACCUGCAGGUUCAACAAUCCCGGGCUCACCUCCCUCUGCAUCCCACUGAGAACUCAAUAUCAGGACCUUCCUACACCCCCCUCAACAUCCCACGUGGCAUCAGGAGUCAGUGCAGUACCCCUCCACUCCACCCCAGUCGACAGUAAAGACAAUCAGCUUCACAUACACAGACCUGGGGAAGCCAGGGCUGGUGUAUGUGUAGCUGAAAUGGAUGGCUCUUUCCCCUUUCUAAGUUUUGGUCUCUUAAUUUAUUAAGUUUUUAAUGUAUUUGUUUUAACAUUGCACAGAGGUUUUGUUUUUUGCACUGAUUUUGUUACAGAAUAAAUUUCUAUUAUUUGGAGCAUAAUUUACCUUUAUUAGUUCACAACACAUGCUGCCUAGCGCUCAGCAGUUCUGAAAGGACCCAAUGACCUGUUACUGCCCAGAGUCACAUGACUCAUAACAUCAUUCACAAACACAAUGAAUAGGUGCAUUGACAGUGUUAUAUCCCUACAUCUACUGCAACCACCACCUCAUUCCUACCAGGCCACAAAAGAAUAAGGCCAGGCAGAGCACACUGCAGCAACACACACUGUUCUGGCUCACUGUUAAAAUGGUCUGUCAAAGCCUCCCUGAGCCUUAUAGCUCUGUGCUGAGCUCUUGUAAUAGUCCUUUUGUCUGGUGGUUCAAACUCAGCAGACAAACGCUCCACCUCCACCCUGCAGCCCAAGGGGAAACUUUUCCCCCUUUGCCUCACAGAGAUGAUGCAGGACAGAGCAGGCAGCUACAACCAUUGGAAUAUUUUUCUCACUGAGGGCCAAUCUUGUAAGUAAACACCACCACGAGCCUUCAGUCAACCAAAGGCACAUUCAACUGUCAUUCUACACCUGCUGAGCCUGUAGUUGAAGUGCUUCUUGGUGCCUCAAGGUGGCUGGCGUACAGCUUUGUGAGCGAUGGGAGCAAGGGGUAGGCUGGGUCUCGCAGAAUGAUUGCUGGCAUUGCAAUAUCACCAAUAGUAAUCUGCCAUUCAGGAAGGAAAGUCCUGUUUGCAGCCUUCUGAACAGUCCUGUGUUCUUAAAGAUGUGAGUCUCAUGCACCUUCCCUAAUCAACCAACACUGAUGUUGGUGAAGCAUCCCCGAUGAUCCACCAGCACUUGCAUGACCAUAGAAAAGUAGCCCUCUCUGUUGAUUCACUCCGUGGCAUGGAAGUCUGUGUCAAAGUAGGGAUAUGGAUGCCAUCUAUUGCCCCACCGCAGUUUGAGAACCCCAUUGCUGCAAAACCCUCCACUAAGUCCUGCACAUUGCCGAGUGUCACAGGCCUGCACAGCAGGAGGCAGUUAGUGGCCCUGCAUGCUUUCAUCACAACAACCCCUAUGGUGGAUUUCCCGACUGACCAGUAGCAGUGGCUGGGAGCUGUAAGGGGAACCAUAUUUCCCAAAGAGAAAAUGGGAUUCCCCCAGCCACUGACCCGAACCCCUUUCCCCUCCCCUGCUCCCCACGAGGCUGUUGCCUGUCGCUGGAACCUUGCGGGGCCCCCGGGACUGAAGCAGAAAAUGUCAAAGUUGUCUCUGGAAGUCAUGGAUUCCGUGACUUCCAUGAUAUAAACGUAGCCUUAAUUAUCAUGUUCCCCACUCAUUUGGGUUUUUCUUGCAGCUCUGCAAAUACUCCAGGAUCAUGUGUCCUGUGCUUGCAGCGCUCAUGACAAUAGUGCAGAGCUGUGCAGGCUCCAGACUUCUGUCAGAGAUGGUGGACAGCAAGGAGGGACACAGGUAUCAUAGUUUUGAGAAUGCUUGGUGAAGAUCUUGUAGGUGUUGGUCUCUGUCUGAGGGGUUGGAGCAAAUGCGGUUAUACCUCAGCGCUUGGCUGUAGAUGAUGGAUCGUGUGGUGUGUCCAGGAUGGAAGCUGGAGGCAUGAAGGAACUUUUCUACAAACGAAGCUCUGAACGAAGGACUGAAUGAGCCAUCCCAGCUGUGGACGUGUUCCAGAGGGACUUUCAAGCCAGCAAACUCAGCAAUACAGCUAAGAACAUGAUAUAUGGACUUUGAAGUCUCGGUAUGUAUCUGACUGCUUCACCACUUAACAACUCUCUUCUUGUUCUUUCUUUUUUCUUUAUAAUAAUCUUUAAUUUUAGAUACUAAAGGAUUGAUUAGCAGCAUGGUAUUUUGGGUAAGUUCCAAACGAAUAUUGACCUGGUAACAUGGCUGGCCCUUUGGGGUCAGAAUAUUUUGUAUAUGUGAGCAGAGCUUUUAAACAACUUCUCGCUGUACUGGACCUAGGUCCUGACUGGGGGCCAGAGAACUGGAAUGUAAUAAAGGCAGCUGUGUGAUUCAGUGUUAACCAUCUGUUUUGGGAGUAUCUGCUCUGCCUUUUGCAGUCUGCCCUGACCUUGACAUUUUCAGUGAGGGCUGCCCUGGCACCCCGGGUCACAUAAGGAUAGGUGCCUUACACCCUGAGCCCUUGGAAGGAAAAGGGUGGGGGUGCAUAAAUUGACUGGUUCAUGCCUUGAACCCUCCAUAGGGUAUAGGCAGGGUGCUCUAGAUUGUGCAGGUAACACUGCCUUCCUCUCAUUCACCCUCAUGAGCCUCCCCCACAGCUCUCCUGAAACCUGGCCUUGUCCUCUCUAUGGACAAUGGCCCUUCAGCUCCAGCUCCCCUCUUCUAAGAGCUGAGGGAAGGCUGGGUUGGGCACAGGCAGCCCCCAAACUGGG